rnacentral:rRNA from 1 species
AACGAACGCUGGCGGCAGGCUUAACACAUGCAAGUCGAACGGGUGCAGCAAUGCAUCAGUGGCAGACGGGUGAGUAACACGUGGGAACCUUCCUAGGGGUACGGAACAACUCAGGGAAACUUGAGCUAAUACCGUAUACGUCCGUAAGGAGAAAGAUUCAUCGCCCCUAGACGGGCCCGCGUCGGAUUAGGUAGUUGGUGGGGUAACGGCCUACCAAGCCUGCGAUCCGUAGCUGAUCUGAGAGGAUGAUCAGCCACACUGGGACUGAGACACGGCCCAGACUCCUACGGGAGGCAGCAGUGGGGAAUCUUGGACAAUGGGCGCAAGCCUGAUCCAGCAAUGCCGCGUGUGUGAAGAAGGCCUGCGGGUUGUAAAGCACUUUCAGUC